rnacentral:rRNA from 1 species
UUAAGCGACUAAGCGUACACGGUGGAUGCCCUGGCAGUCAGAGGCGAUGAAGGGCGUGCUAAUCUGCGAUAAGCGCCGGUAAGGUGAUAUGAACCGUUAUAACCGGCGAUCCGAAUGGGGAAACCCAGUGUGAUUCGUCACACUAUCAUUAACUGAAUCCAUAGGUUAAUGAGGCGAACCGGGGGAACUGAAACAUCUAAGUACCCCGAGGAAAAGAAAUCAACCGAGAUUCCCCCAGUAGCGGCGAGCGAACGGGGAGGAGCCCAGAGCCUGAAUCAGCAUGUGUGUUAGUGGAAGCGUCUGGAAAGGCGCGCGAUACAGGGUGACAGCCCCGUACACAAAAGCGCAUGUGCUGUGAGCUCGAUGAGUAGGGCGGGACACGUGGUAUCCUGUCUGAAUAUGGGGGGACCAUCCUCCAAGGCUAAAUACUCCUGACUGACCGAUAGUGAACCAGUACCGUGAGGGAAAGGCGAAAAGAACCCCGGCGAGGGGAGUGAAAAAGAACCUGAAACCGUGUACGUACAAGCAGUGGGAGCCCCACCACUAAGCCAGUGGUGAACUCCACAUCCGCAUCCUUUGCUGAGGAUACGGUUAACGGAGCGAAAGCGACGUUCAACCGCAAAACAAGCAGAGGGGGCUUAGUGGUGGGGUGACUGCGUACCUUUUGUAUAAUGGGUCAGCGACUUAUAUUCUGUAGCAAGGUUAACCGAAUAGGGGAGCCGGAGGGAAACCGAGUCUUAAUUGGGCGUUAAGUUGCAGGGUAUAGACCCGAAACCCGGUGAUCUAGCCAUGGGCAGGUUGAAGGUUGGGUAACACUAACUGGAGGACCGAACCGACUAAUGUUGAAAAAUUAGCGGAUGACCUGUGGCUGGGGGUGAAAGGCCAAUCAAACCGGGAGAUAGCUGGUUCUCCCCGAAAGCUAUUUAGGUAGCGCCUCGUGAAUUCAUCUCCGGGGGUAGAGCACUGUUUCGGCUAGGGGGCCAUCCCGGCUUACCAACCCGAUGCAAACUGCGAAUACCGGAGAAUGUUAUCACGGGAGACACACGGCGGGUGCUAACGUCCGUCGUGAAGAGGGAAACAACCCAGACCGCCAGCUAAGGUCCCAAAGUCAUGGUUAAGUGGGAAACGAUGUGGGAAGGCCCAGACAGCCAGGAUGUUGGCUUAGAAGCAGCCAUCAUUUAAAGAAAGCGUAAUAGCUCACUGGUCGAGUCGGCCUGCGCGGAAGAUGUAACGGGGCUAAACCAUGCACCGAAGCUGCGGCAGCGAACGUAUCACUUAAAGCGAUUCAGCGGGUUACGAUUGACGGAGCGAAGCGACGUCAAAGCGUAUACAAAGUCGAGUCGGUUUAAGGAUACGUUCGUUGGGUAGGGGAGCGUUCUGUAAGCCCGUGAAGGUGGCCUGUGAGGGUUGCUGGAGGUAUCAGAAGUGCGAAUGCUGACAUAAGUAACGAUAAAGCGGGUGAAAAGCCCGCUCGCCGGAAGACCAAGGGUUCCUGUCCAACGUUAAUCGGGGCAGGGUGAGUCGACCCCUAAGGCGAGGCCGAAAGGCGUAGUCGAUGGGAAACGGGUUAAUAUUCCCGUACUUGGUGUUACUGCGAAGGGGGGACGGAGAAGGCUAUGUUGGCCGGGCGACGGUUGUCCCGGUUUAAGCGUGUAGGUGUGUGUUCCAGGUAAAUCCGGUUCACUUUAACACUGAGGCGUGACGACGAGGCACUACGGUGCUGAAGCAACAAAUGCCCUGCUUCCAGGAAAAGCCUCUAAGCAUCAGGUAACAUCAAAUCGUACCCCAAACCGACACAGGUGGUCAGGUAGAGAAUACCAAGGCGCUUGAGAGAACUCGGGUGAAGGAACUAGGCAAAAUGGUGCCGUAACUUCGGGAGAAGGCACGCUGACACGUAGGUGAAGUGAUUUACUCAUGGAGCUGAAGUCAGUCGAAGAUACCAGCUGGCUGCAACUGUUUAUUAAAAACACAGCACUGUGCAAACACGAAAGUGGACGUAUACGGUGUGACGCCUGCCCGGUGCCGGAAGGUUAAUUGAUGGGGUCAGCGCAAGCGAAGCUCCUGAUCGAAGCCCCGGUAAACGGCGGCCGUAACUAUAACGGUCCUAAGGUAGCGAAAUUCCUUGUCGGGUAAGUUCCGACCUGCACGAAUGGCGUAAUGAUGGCCAGGCUGUCUCCACCCGAGACUCAGUGAAAUUGAACUCGCUGUGAAGAUGCAGUGUACCCGCGGCAAGACGGAAAGACCCCGUGAACCUUUACUAUAGCUUGACACUGAACAUUGAGCCUUGAUGUGUAGGAUAGGUGGGAGGCUUUGAAGUGUGGACGCCAGUCUGCAUGGAGCCGACCUUGAAAUACCACCCUUUAAUGUUUGAUGUUCUAACGUGGACCCGUAAUCCGGGUUGCGGACAGUGUCUGGUGGGUAGUUUGACUGGGGCGGUCUCCUCCUAAAGAGUAACGGAGGAGCACGAAGGUUGGCUAAUCCUGGUCGGACAUCAGGAGGUUAGUGCAAUGGCAUAAGCCAGCUUGACUGCGAGCGUGACGGCGCGAGCAGGUGCGAAAGCAGGUCAUAGUGAUCCGGUGGUUCUGAAUGGAAGGGCCAUCGCUCAACGGAUAAAAGGUACUCCGGGGAUAACAGGCUGAUACCGCCCAAGAGUUCAUAUCGACGGCGGUGUUUGGCACCUCGAUGUCGGCUCAUCACAUCCUGGGGCUGAAGUAGGUCCCAAGGGUAUGGCUGUUCGCCAUUUAAAGUGGUACGCGAGCUGGGUUUAGAACGUCGUGAGACAGUUCGGUCCCUAUCUGCCGUGGGCGCUGGAGAACUGAGGGGGGCUGCUCCUAGUACGAGAGGACCGGAGUGGACGCAUCACUGGUGUUCGGGUUGUCAUGCCAAUGGCACUGCCCGGUAGCUAAAUGCGGAAGAGAUAAGUGCUGAAAGCAUCUAAGCACGAAACUUGCCCCGAGAUGAGUUCUCCCUGAGACUUAGAGUCUCCUGAAGGAACGUUGAAGACGACGACGUUGAUAGGCCGGGUGUGUAAGCGCAGCGAUGCGUUGAGCUAACCGGUACUAAUGAACCGUGAGGCUUAACCU